GGGCUGUCGAAAGCACCGGGGUAGGGCGGGAUACGGCGGCAAGUGGGCUGUGGGUUUGGAGGAAGGGCAGAGCCAAGAUCGUGAGAUUAGAUCCGCUACAAUGUGGAAACAGGCUCUUCGACCCAACAAGUCGACACCGCCCCUUGGAUCAUCCCACGCAGAGCCUCUAACCUGCUCUUGUGUUUAUGUGGAAUUGAUGACCUUCUAUUUUCAUGAAGGACAGGAUUGGAAACUGCGAAGAAAACAG